AUGGAAUUUCACUCUUUCAUGCUUACUUUAAUUAGUUAUUUUGGUUUUCUACUGGCUGCUUUAACUAUAACCCCAACUCUAUUUAUUGGCUUGAACAAGAUACGCCUUAUUUGA
rnacentral:rRNA from 1 species